UGGGGCAGGAGGGGAAGGAGGAUCCCGGGGCGGACAGGGGGUCCUGGCUGGGUGGCUUUGUGCCGUGGCGGGGGCGGGGGGGAGAGGGGCGGCGGCCCCACCCGGGUGGCCCCCUCGCCCUGCUGAGGUUCCUACAGUUCGUUCCUGCCCUUCAGGGAGACGAGGGGGAUUCUGAGGGAACUUACCUCAGGGCUGCCGGCGGGCGCGAGUCCCGGGGAGGCCUGGCCGCGCCCGGCGGGGCUCGGGGCAACUCCGGGCUCUGCACUCGGGAUCCUCCGGGGGUCGGGGGACCCCGUGGGGUGUCGACAAGGCCCCGCCCUCCCCGCUGCCCUGUCGCUCAGGCCCGGCCACAGAGAGAGACAAGAGGGAGCCUCAGUUCCCCAGUUUCCCGCACGUGGGCGGGGCGUGCACGGCCGCCUCCCCAUUGGUUCCUGCGGGGACACUCGGAGCCCCCGGGGGUCUCGGGCUGGGGCGGGGGGUCACCCGGGAAUGUUCCCGGGCCGGUCCUUGUCGGGCCACUUCUGUCAUUGUGACUAUGGAGUCGGGGCCGAAGGGUCGGUUUCCCUGGAAAGGGGGGAGUUAGUCUCUCUUUUAAUUAAAAACAAAGUUUUGUUUCAUAAUACUUGACCGACAUCCCGCCGCGCGCAGGGUCCCUCCUGGCUCUGCACCAGGGGACUCUCCUGGCGGGACUCAGGGUCCUGUGGAAUGUCAGGCUCGGUCCUGUCAGCCCCGUGCACGGCAGAUGCUCUCCCAGUGCACUGCCCUCUGCACUGGCCGGGGACUCAGGAGUGUGUGGCUGACCGUUUGAUUUUCCCGGGUUCCUGCGACUGCGGUAGGUUUUUGGGAUCCUGGGAGAUGCGGAGCUGAAGAGACUCUGGCAGAAGUGGGUCUAGCAUCCGGGCUGUGUUGGACCAGAGUGGUCCUUGCAACCAAAUGUAGCAGGUGGUAGGCUGGUCACUUCCAGGAUGUACCCCUAGAUGUACCAUAAUGCAAUCUAGGAUUUCCAUUGGUCACCACACCCUUAUUUCUUUGUUUUACAUAAUUUUUAGAUUUUUUUAGGGUGAGGGAACACAUGGCAAUGUUCAGGGGUUAUUCCUAACUCUGCACUCAGGGAUCACACCUGGGGGUGCUCAGGGAAACAUGGGAUGCGAUGCCGGCAAUCAAACCUUGGUAGACACGUGCAAGACAAGAACCCCACCCACUAAAUUUCUGUUAUUAUUAUUAUUAUUAUUUGCUUUUUGGGUCACACCCAGCGAUGCUCAGGGGUUACUCCUGGCUCUGCACUCAGGAAUUACUCCUUGCAGUGCUUGGGGGACCAUAUGGGUUGCCGGGGAUCGAACCCGGGUCGGCCGCGUGCAAGGCAAACGCCCUACCCGCUGUGCUAUCGCUCCGGCCCCAUUUCUGUUAUUAUUAAUUGUAGUUUUUGGUCCACAGCUGGCAAGUGCUAAGGGCUCACUCUUGGACCUUAGCUCAGGCGUGGCUCUUGGCAGUGCUGGGGUGGGGAAACCUAUGUGCUGUUGCAUAUUAACUCGGGCUCAGCUGCUUGAACGAAAAGCAUCCUAUACAUUUACUAUCUCUGCUAACUCUCUGAUUUUAUUUUUCCUCAGACAAAUAAUUUCUGCUUUACCUGUCAGGUUUCAGAGCAAUCCCUCAUUGACGGAGGUAUUUCUCCAGGACCAGAGGCUCCCCCUUCUGUUCUGCUGAUUCCACGGAGCCACCUGCUGAUCCUUGGGAAUUACAGAAGCUGCAGGCAAUGGUGACGCUUCACUGACACACUGUUCCAGGUGAUUCUAUGGAGCCACCUGCUGAUCCUUGGGAAUUACAGAAGCUUCAGACAAUGGUGACACACCAUCUGACACACUGUCCCCAGGUGGGAGGAGAAUGAUGUGGUGACAUGAUGCAGUGACAGGCAGGAAUUUCUGCUCUCUCACAGCAAGUUGCAAAGCCUCCGCACUUCUCAUCUCGCCGUGAUCAAGCGACCCAGGCUAUUGGGUUCCGUAUUAUAGCACUUGGCCUAUCCUGAUUCUAUGCCAGGGUAGCUCACAGUUUGCCCUGGGUCCAUCUAGUCCCUCAUCAGGACCGUGCAUUUGAGGUGCCAAGAAAUAUGGACAACAAAGGCUUUAGUGUCUCGAGAAAACAGAUGCCCAGGAGUUAAUAUUCAUCGGAUUUAAAGGACUUCAAAGUUCCAAAAGCAUAGACUUAACUGUCUUCCUGUCUACAGAAAAGACAUUGCUAUGAAGUAAACUAUGCAAAAAGGAGAGGAGAAGGAGAAAAGCAAUAUUUCACUUAUCAAACACAUGGGGAGGCGCGGGGCACUCCGGAGGGCACUUUGGUCCUGCCACAAAGUCUGCCUUCACAGCCGCCCUGCCUCAGGGCACCAAUUCCUCCUCUACCCACAAGACCAAUGGCGGCCCGAGCCAGGCAACCGCAGCUAGAUUAGAAAGGAUUCCUGAAGGGCCGUCUGUGGCAUCACUUCCGUUUUUGCCAGGGGCCUUAAAGAGCCAUCGCUAAGAUUUAGAGAACCCAGGUGAACUGGUGGUGUAAGGGGAAUGGACUAAACAAAGGAGUGGAGAGGCAGCUGAUGGGGCGGUGAGCCACAGAGUGAGGAGCUUCGGGGGGAAGGAGAAGAGACCUGAUCCUGUACUGAUCAGUCAAAAAUUCAACCAAUGCUAUCACAGUCCCCCAGGAAAAACGCGGGUGGGUUGAUUGAAAGUAAAACAGGCAGGUAGGUGCAAGUCACCUGAUGCUGGGGAAUUAAGAUGGGGUGAGAGCAGUGACUCCAAAGCCAGCCCUGGAGAUGCAGAGAGGAACUGGCCUGGCAGCAGCCCAGAGAGCUGGACAGACACUGCAAAGGGGAAAAUGCUGGAAGAACACAGUCUUUGGAAAAAGCCCAACCACUGGACUCUUGCCUACAAGGUAAACCACAUCAAGGCAGUUUCAGAAACAAAUACAGAGGAUGGGUAAGAGGGGUAGUACAGCGGGCUGGGCACUUACUUACCUUGCAUGCGGGCAAUCUGGGUUCACACCUCAGAAUUCCAAAUGGUUCCCUGAGCAUCACCGAAGAGCAAGAAAGAAACAGCACACUGAAUCACUUUGGACAAGAGUGGCGCCCCCAAAAUGCCUCCAAACUGUGUGCCCGGAGCUUCUGGCCCAGGCGCUGCCAGCGAGUGAUGCAAUUACCAAAAGAAUUUUCCCUGGACUUCAUAUAGAAAUCCAAAACCUCGAGGCUGCGAUAGCAGCCACGCGACCUAAUAUCUUUUGAUUGUCAGCAAUGUGUAAAUGUUCCUUUUUGGCAGGGCUUACCGUGGGGGGAAACUCCAAACAAUAGUACUGAGUUUUUUGUUGAAGGGUAAAAAAUUGUAACGAUAGAAUUUUAGGCAGAAUUUUCCCUGGACUUUAUAUAGAAACCCAAAACCGCGUGGCCUCGGCAGCCUAAUGUCAUCUAAUCAUCAGCAAUAUGAAAUGGUUCCUUUGUAAUGGGUUGGACUUUGGGGGGACCAUAAUAGGGUUAAAGUUUGUAGCGACGUGUAAUUUCUGGCUGUACUUUCCCUGGACUUUAUACAGAAAUUCAAAGCCGCGAGGCCGCUGCCAUGGCCGUGCAACCUAUUGUCAUUUAAUCAUCACCAAUAUGAAAUGGUUCCUUCUUAGCGGGUCGGACUUUGGUGGGAAAUCCUAACAAGAAUACUAAGUCUUUUGCUGAAAUAUUGAAGGCUAUCAAAGUGAUAGCCAUCUCUAUAGACUGAACUAAGCCAUAUCCCCACGCCGGCUGAGAAGAAAUAUCCUUCUUUCUCGGGAAGAAACGCGGCGUGGCAUUAACCAUAGUAUGAUGUCCAUUAAGCUGACAUGGACCUGGUGGCGUGGGAAUGGGAUACAAGGGAAUAAAUUAUUAUGUACUUGGAACAGCGGGACGCUGGUGGAAUCUCGAGCCGGGGCCGAUACCAGCAUAUUACCUUUGAUUCCAGAAACUGCUUGCAGACAUUCUACCAGGCUAUCAACUAAGCCAGAGCCCCACGCCGGCUGAUGACGGGAAAUAACCAUCUUUUUUGGUUUGUUUUCCCUUUGUCAGGCAGCGUGGUGAUUACUAAACAGGCGUGAUCUCGGUGGCGCGGGACGAGGGGGGAAAAAAAUAGAAAAGUUAUGUAACAAACAGCGGGACUUAAUAUCUCUACAUUCUCAGCAAUGGAGAGCCAUCAAAUGCUUCCUUGACAGUGGGACUGUCUUUUCUUUUUUGGGGGAAACCCUAGCAACAAUAGUGAGUUAUGUGUUGAAACAUGGACUGUAACCAAGAUAAAGCGUAAACGAAGUGAAACUUAUCAUUUACAAGGGCAGGGACUGGGGGGGCGGGAGAGGGCGGGAGGUUUAAUGGGGUGGUUGGUGAUGGAAUAUGGGCACGGGUGAAGGGAAGGGUGUUUGAGUAUUGUAUAACUGACAUAAUCCUGAGAACUAUGUAACCCUCCACAUGGUGAUUCAAUAAAAUUUAAAUUAAAAAAAAAAAGAAACAGCACUGUAGUGCUGUCGUCCCAUUGUUCAUCGAUUUGCUUGAGUGGGCACCAGUAACAUCUCCAUUGUGAGAUUUGUUGUUACUGUUUUUGGAAUAUCGAGUGUGCCACAUGUAGCUUGCCAGGCUCUGCGUUGAGGUGAGAUACCCUCAGUAGGUUGCCGGGCUCUCUGAGAGGGGUGGAGGAAGACAGAAAUCAGUAUACAUUAGGAAACUUAUUAUUUUACAGGCACGAAAGAACAAAGUAUUUGCACUGAUGAUUAGUUACCAAAGUUGACCGUAUUUAUGAUUUUAUUUAUUGAAACUAUCUGUAUGUUUCAGAGCUUUGGCCAGAGUGAUAGAACAGUGGGUAAGGUGUUUGCCUUGCACAUGACCAGUCCGGGUUUGAUCCCUGCAUCCCAUUUGAUGCCCCAAGUACCACCAGUAGUAAUUCAUGAGUGCAGAGAUAUGAGUGACCGCUGAGAAUCACUGGGUGUGAUCCAAAAAGCCAAAACAAAAUAAGAAGCAAUCUCUUUUUUAUUGUUUUGGUUUGUUUGUUUUUAGACUACAGUCAACGGCACUCGGUGCAUACUCCUGGCUCUGUGCUCAGGAACCACUCCUAGUGGGACUCCAGGGACCAUAUGUGCACAUGGUAUUGAACUAAGGCCAUCCCCUUGCAAGGCAAGCACCCUACCCACUGUACCACAUCUCCACACUCACACAGCACUCUCUAAAGGAACAUAUACUCCCAGGAGUAAACCCAAAGUUCCUACGGCUCCUACCUGCUGCAAAUGCCUUCUCCCGCACUCGUGUCUAUCCACUGAGCUCCUCUCCAAGGCCCAGCUCGCCCUGCCUUACCACCCACACGGCGGCCUUCUUUCUAUGAAUCGCUAGAGUACUCACUGUAUUGUUUGUCCAUGAUCUUCCCAUGUAAACACUAGCAAACUUUUUAAACAGACAUAGUUUCUGUGAGUCAUUUUCACAAAGACCUAUUUAAGUUUUAUUUUUUAAUAACUACAGAAACUUCAAUGAAAUUAUCUUAUAAAAGUUUCCAUGUCUGAGGCUGAAGAGAUAACACAAUGUGUAGGACCUUGCGUUGUCCACAGCCAACUAAGGUUUGAUCCCCAGCAUCCCACAUGGUCCCCGGUUCACUGCUAGAAGAAGUUCCUGAGUGCAGAGCCAGUAAAGCACCCUGCUUGGUUUAUUGAUCCAAUGAGAGAAUUAGCAAUACUUUAUUGAGUACCUAUUUUAUUAGUCUGAGCAAGCUGAAAUGACUGUUUUAACCAACUAAACUCAUGGUUUCACACAGUCCAAUCUAAUGACAGGCCCAACAUAUAAGCCCACUAAUAAUGAAAAAAUUGGUGCACUCUGAAGGUCACUUCCUGGAGAAGUUAGGACUGGUGAAGUGGUAAGAGGAGGCCAGCACACAGCAAGAAGACGUCAGAAGACAAAGUGACCAGAGUGGAUUACCCACUUAAUUAUCCCGAAUACAAAUGACCCAGAUACACUGCAAGUCUUAUUGUUUUCUAUGAACUAACAGUGAUCAGCACCCUUUCCCCAAAACUUUAUUAAUACUUCAUUUCUCCCCCAAAUUACUAACAUAAUCUGCUACAUUAUACUAAUCAGCCAACUUUAAAAUCAAGAUUGAAGACAGAUGCUUGUGGAGAGCCUCCACGGGGCCAUGCUUCGUAAACAACACCUGUUUCUUGUUAAUUGCACCGUGCUUCGUAAACAACUCCUAAUAAGGAAACAGGAUGUCUUGCCACACCCAUAAGCUGUGACUAACCUAUCAGAUGCAGACACGUGGGCGUAAGCAGGCAGCGAGAGGUAUAUAAGGGGGGAGGUCUCCUAGCUAGUCGGUUCUCCCUCAUGCGUCCCCUUUUCCUCCUUACUCCACGUCCCCGUUCCUGAUUUCUUCUCUAACGCAUGAGAAAGUUCCUGAAUAAAUCAUAGCCAAAAGGACCUCCGAGUUGCGUGUUUCUUCGCUGGACGAAGCGGCGCGUGGCAGCUGGUGGCCCGUACGGGGAACCCGACCUCCAGUACCCCCCGGUGGAUUCAGAACUUGCUGCGAUUUAUUCAGGACUAAGGUUCACGAGAAAUCGUGACGAUGAGGUUCCUGUGGUAAGUCAGGACUAAGGUUCACGAGAAGUCGUGACGAUCAAGUUCCUGUGGUGAGUCAGGACAAUAAUAUCCAUGGAUGUGUAUGUUUCGUUUGUUGGUUGGAUGUUUGUUUGUCUUUCCCUUUUUUUUUUCAUUUUUGCUUUCUAUGCUUACUCUAAGGAUCAAAAGUGCGAUAAGGCCGUACAACCAGGACAAGUAGUGUUAGAAGAGACAAAGAAGGACAGAGGCAGCCGUCAUGGCAUUAUAGCCUCUGAGCCAGAGGAGGGUUCGGACGUGGAAAGCGAGGCCUCUAGGGGAACCCUGCUGACGGAGGGACGCGCCCCAAAAAAGAAAGGAAGGCCCCAAGAACCAUCCAUGACCCGUCCGUCUCUUUAUCCCUCGCUACGUCAAUUUCAGCAGGGACGGGCUAACGGGGAUUCUGACCCCCCUAUUGAAGAGGAAGCUGUGAUACAUGAUAGUGACCGAUACUUACCGCUAAAGGGCUCUGAGGAUGAUCUGCACCCUUAUCUUAACAAAGCGGGAGGCGGACUUUCUUUUGCAAAACCCAGGCUCUGGGCAGAAAUUAGGUGAGAGCUACAGUUAACUUAUCCUGUUUUUGAAGAUAACAAUCAACAGCGAUAUCACGGGCCCCUAGAUUUUAAAAUAAUUAAGUCCUUGGCAGAAUCAGUAAAGAUGUAUGGAGCCAACACGGCAUUUACCUUAACUCAAGUAGGCUUAUUCAGAUAUUGUAUGACGCCAAAUGAUUGGCAACAGGUGGCUAGAGCGGUGUUGACGCCCAGACAAUACUUAGACUGGCGUACCUUCUUAAUGGAAUUUGCAAAAUUGAGCAAGCUCUUACUGCUGCUGGCAAUACACGCGUGCAGCCUGAAUUUCCUAUUUUACUUUGUGUGCUUUCAACAUAUGGGCAACCUACUGCAGUCCUAUGGCAGGAGGGACCCCUUCUGUGGAUUCAUCCUAGGGUCUCUCCGGCAAAAGCCGUGGAAUUAUACCCUGCAGCUGUAGCCCGUUUGGCUAUGAUUGGUAUUCAGGACUGUUUGCAAUACUUUGGAAAACUUCCAGAUACUCUUAUUACCCCCUAUAAUUCCACUCAAAUAGUUUCUUUGUGUAACUUACAUGAUGAUUGGGCGAUUCUCCGAUUUUCUUUUCCCAAUGUUAUUAAUAAUCAUUAUCCCAAACAUCCACUAAUGACCUUCUUUAAAACCCAUCUGGUAAUUUUCCCCAAAGUCACCUCUUAUGUACCCCUUCAGGAUGUUCCAAACAUUUAUACUGAUGGUUCAAGUACAGGCUGGGGGGCUUAUAUGAUAGAGGGUCAAGAUCCUAUUCGUAUGCAAUUUCCAACUACGUCUCCUCAAGUUGUGGAACUCCGCAUUGUCUUGACAGUGUUUGAGCAUUGCCCCUUUGCUUUCAAUUUGAUCUGAUUCACGAUACGUUGUAAAUGCUCUUUGCUCACUCGAGGUAGCAGGACUCAUAAAGGCCUCCAGCUCGAUAGCCUCCUUGUUAUCUGCUUUACAGCAAAUUCUUUGGACCCAUGAAAAACCAUUUUUUGUCACACAUAUCCGCUCUCACACAGGCCUUCCGGGUCCCUUAGCAGAAGGCAAUGCUUGUGUUGAUGCACUCACUAGACCAUCUUGUUUUGUUAUUCAGUCUCCUUUACAAUUAGCAAAAAAUUUUCAUGACCGUUUCCAUGUUUCUUCUCGGACCCUUCAACAUAGAUUUCAAAUACCUCGAGCCGAAGCUCGGGCAAUUGUUUUACAUUGUCCACACUGUGUCCCUUUUCUUCCUGCCCCCUCCAUGGGCAUAAACCCUCGUGGUCUUGUGCCUUUACGCAUUUGGCAAAUGGAUGUUACACAUUUCUCGGAAUUUGGCAGGCUCAAAUAUCUCCAUGUAUCCGUGGACACGUGCUCCGGUAUCAUUCAUGCCACUCCCCUUCCUGGAGAGCGGUCCACAAAUGUUAUCUCUCAUUGCCUUGAAGCAUGGGCAGCCGGGGGCAUCCCAGCCCAACUGAAAACAGAUAACGGUCCGGCAUACACCUCUGCUAAAUUCACCGCAUUUUGUGCCCAGAUGGGAGUCUCUUUAUCUCAUGGCCUCCCAUAUAACCCACAAGGACAGGGCAUCGUUGAGCGUGCCCAUUCCACCCUUAAAGCAUGCCUAAUAAAACAAAAAGGGGGAGUUGGCCUGGGACGGCCCCCUCGAGAAAGAAUCUCUAUUGCACUUUUUACUCUAAAUUUUUUUAUUAUUGAUGAUAAGGGCGCCUCCUCUGCAGACAGGCAUUCUUCAAAGAUCCCUGUGUGCCAAGGAUAUGUUAAAUGGAAGGAUAUCCUUUCUGGUGUAUGGCAUGGCCCGGACCCCGUGUUAACCUGGGCCAGGGGUUCUGUUUGUGUUUUUCCACAGGACAGGGCAGAACCAGUGUGGAUUCCUGAACGUCUGACACGGAAGACCACGCCUCCAGUAGAUCAAGAGGUGGAAACUGGUGCUCCUGUUCAACCUGGUUCCUGUGAUGAUACGAGCUGAAGAAGCAGCUUUUUGGGCCAUUGCACACCAUGGCCUGCUUUUAUCCCUUCCUUACCCACCUUAAUAAGACCAGAGUAGAAGUCCCCUCUAUUUUAUCAAAGAGUGGGUGGAGGUGGGAGUAGUACUAUCCUUAUUGCUUCUCGCUGCUUUGGUUUUUUGCCUGGUGUCUAUACAAAAUGCAGCAAGAACAACUAUUUACAAAGGCGUGGUAUUUACAGGUAUUCGUGGCCCUGGAGGCACAGCAAUCCCCGUAGCUUUGGCUUGCAACUUGGAAACAAUAAUCUCGCUUAGAACAAUCAGGUCUAGCUGGACGUAGCAAAGGUAUUAUGCAGCUGAGAGCCCUUAACUGCAGGGGACCUCCUGUAGUUGAGGAGUUUGAAAGGGUGCACUAUACCCCACCUGACCUGGUGAUCAGAUGCAGUUUAUUCUGUUCUCCCCACGUGUCUUUUCUAGUCUCACCAAGCUACCCAUUCCAGUCUCACCCUAGCCCUCAUUCCCAUCUCC